CUAUUGCUCCUUCUAAAAGAUUUGUUUGACAUGCCCACCCUGCUCCCAGGGUGGACCUGGCCGACUUCUGUGUCAUAGGACUGUUGACUGAUGGUCUGACUCACUGAAUGAGUGAAUGAACAAAUGAAUGAAUGAACGAAUGGAUUGUUUAAUUGAAAGGGAGUAGGAGCUACCAAAAUGGAGACUUGUUUUUGAUGACCUGUUUCUGGUGUCUCUGGUUCUAGCAGCUCUGUGACCUAUGCCGAUGAAUGUGGGAAAUGCGGCUCACACUCUUCCUCAGGACUGGAGAGAGAGCCUAACCCUGGCUGGGGAGCAGGUACAAGGAAGAUCCCUGCAUGAACUGAUAUUUGAAACGAGUCUUGAAACAUGAGGAGGAGUUUGCCCUCCAUGGACAAGAUGAGGGAAAGGCAGGUCUGGCGGAAGGCACGGCAUGACGAAUGCACGGAGGCAUGACGAGAGGAUGAAGUGCGUUUGGGGCGCAGUAAGGGGUUUGGCGUGGCAGCAGCAGAGAGUACAGAUGACCAAGGGCCGGGGAGGAAGAUGUAGAAAUCAGCUGGAGAUAGACCGUGGAAGACCUUGGGGGCCACUGUGGUCAAAAUGCGAAUGGGAACACAGAGGAGACAGAAGGCUGAAAUCCGAAAGGCGGGAAUUCAAAACAAAUAAAGAGGGAAUCUUACAAAGUCACACUUCCAGAACAAAAUGCGGACA